rnacentral:rRNA from 1 species
ACGGUGUCUUCGGACAUAGUGGCGCACGGGUGCGUAACACGCUAUGCAACCUACCUUACAUUGGGGGAUAGCCUUUCGAAAGGGAGAUUAAUACCGCAUAAGACAGUAGCUGGGCAUCCAGCAGCUGUUAAAGAUUUAUCGAUGUAAGCUGGGCAUGCGUCCAAUUAGCUAGUUGGUGAGGUAAUGGCUCACCAAGGCUAUGAUUGGUAGGGGAACUGAGAGGUCAAUCCCCCACACUGGCACUGAGAUACGGGCCAGACUCCUACGGGAGGCAGCAGUAGGGAAUAUUGGGCAAUGGACGCAAGUCUGACCCAGCCAUGCCGCGUGCAGGAUGAAGGCGUUAUGCGUUGUAAACUGCUUUUAUACAGGAAGAAACGACUCUUGCGAGAGGCAUUGACGGUACUGUAUGAAUAAGCACCGGCUAACUCCGUGCCAGCAGCCGCGGUAAUACGGAGGGUGCAAGCGUUGUCCGGAUUUAUUGGGUUUAAAGGGUGCGCAGGUGGUUUAUCAAGUCAGUGGUGAAAGACGGUCGCUCAACGAUUGCAGUGCCAUUGAAACUGGUAGACUUGAGUAAAGUAGAGGUGGGCGGAAUUGAUAGUGUAGCGGUGAAAUGCAUAGAUAUUAUCAAGAACUCCAAUUGCGUAGGCAGCUCACUUGGCUUUUACUGACACUCAUGCACGAAAGUGUGGGUAUCAAACAGGAUUAGAUACCCUGGUAGUCCACACUGUAAACGAUGAUAACUAGGUGUCGGCCGAAUCUGGUCGGUGCCACAGCGAAAGCGUUAAGUUAUCCACCUGGGGAGUACG